rnacentral:tRNA from 1 species
UCCCUGAUGGCUCAGGUGGUAAAGCAUCUGCCUACAAUGGCAGGAGAUCCAGAUUCAAUCUCUGGGUCAGGAAG